rnacentral:lncRNA from 1 species
CUUUGGUACCCCCUUCUUCAAAUGCUUCCAGGGAUAGCACGUACUUACUGUUCCUUUGUUGCCCUGAAUCUUUCCUACUUGUAAUAUAUAUGUUAUCUUCAUCUCAUCUAUACUUUGCUGUGCCUUGGCAGUUAGCUGUGUUAUUUGUUUUGUAACUGGCAACCCACCGUUUUCCUUCUUAGUGGACCUCUCAACUGUGUCCAGUUUGUUCAGCGAUUAGGAUAAGGUAGCUUUCAAUCCAUUCACGUACAAGUUCAUCACGAAUUGUAUUGUAGAACUAAGUCGACACAAAGUUGAUGGUCCAUGACAAAACCUAGUUGCCUCAACUUCUCAAUGUAGCCAAGCAUCUUUGAUCCAUCAUGAGCCCUAACAAAAAAAUUGCCUUUUGUCAAUUUGCAACAGAACAAUUCCCUUGAUGCCUCACACUUUGCUUGUCGAACAAUUCUCUCAAUCAUCAUCGUCAUCCUCAACAAGGACAAGAGGAACAGUAUUUUCAAAGACAUACAAUUUCUUUUCUUGUUUGAGAACUAUUCUCAAAUUGUGAUAUUACUCCAAAAGGUUUGAUCUAGUGAGC